rnacentral:rRNA from 1 species
CUUAACACAUGCAAGUCGAGGGGCAUCAGGAAGAAAGCUUGCUUUCUUUGCUGGCGACCGGCGCACGGGUGAGUAACACGUAUCCAACCUGCCCUUUACUCGGGGAUAGCCUUUCGAAAGAAAGAUUAAUACCCGAUAGCAUAAUGAUUCCGCAUGGUUUCAUUAUUAAAGGAUUCCGGUAAAGGAUGGGGAUGCGUUCCAUUAGGUUGUUGGUGAGGUAACGGCCCACCAAGCCUUCGAUGGAUAGGGGUUCUGAGAGGAAGGUCCCCCACAUUGGAACUGAGACACGGUCCAAACUCCUACGGGAGGCAGCAGUGAGGAAUAUUGGUCAAUGGGCGCUAGCCUGAACCAGCCAAGUAGCGUGAAGGAUGAAGGCUCUAUGGGUCGUAAACUUCUUUUAUAUAAGAAUAAAGUGCAGUAUGUAUACUGUUUUGUAUGUAUUAUAUGAAUAAGGAUCGGCUAACUCCGUGCCAGCAGCCGCGGUAAUACGGAGGAUCCGAGCGUUAUCCGGAUUUAUUGGGUUUAAAGGGAGCGUAGGUGGACUGGUAAGUCAGUUGUGAAAGUUUGCGGCUCAACCGUAAAAUUGCAGUUGAUACUGUCAGUCUUGAGUACAGUAGAGGUGGGCGGAAUUCGUGGUGUAGCGGUGAAAUGCUUAGAUAUCACGAAGAACUCCGAUUGCGAAGGCAGCUCACUGGACUGCAACUGACACUGAUGCUCGAAAGUGUGGGUAUCAAACAGGAUUAGAUACCCUGGUAGUCCACACAGUAAACGAUGAAUACUCGCUGUUUGCGAUAUACAGUAAGCGGCCAAGCGAAAGCAUUAAGUAUUCCACCUGGGGAGUACGCCGGCAACGGUGAAACUCAAAGGAAUUGACGGGGGCCCGCACAAGCGGAGGAACAUGUGGUUUAAUUCGAUGAUACGCGAGGAACCUUACCCGGGCUUAAAUUGCAGUGGAAUGAUGUGGAAACAUGUCAGUGAGCAAUCACCGCUGUGAAGGUGCUGCAUGGUUGUCGUCAGCUCGUGCCGUGAGGUGUCGGCUUAAGUGCCAUAACGAGCGCAACCCUUAUCUUUAGUUACUAACAGGUUAUGCUGAGGACUCUAGAGAGACUGCCGUCGUAAGAUGUGAGGAAGGUGGGGAUGACGUCAAAUCAGCACGGCCCUUACGUCCGGGGCUACACACGUGUUACAAUGGGGGGUACAGAAGGCAGCUAGCGGGUGACCGUAUGCUAAUCCCAAAAUCCUCUCUCAGUUCGGAUCGAAGUCUGCAACCCGACUUCGUGAAGCUGGAUUCGCUAGUAAUCGCGCAUCAGCCACGGCGCGGUGAAUACGUUCCCGGGCCUUGUACACACCGCCCGUCAAGCCAUGGGAGCCGGGGGUACCUGAAGUACGUAACCGCAAGGAUCGUCCUAGGGUAAAACUGGUGACUGGGGCUAAGUCAUAACA